rnacentral:rRNA from 1 species
AUGAACGCUGGCGGUGUGCCUAAUACAUGCAAGUCGAGCGAACGGACGAGAAGCUUGCUUCUCUGAUGUUAGCGGCGGACGGGUGAGUAACACGUGGAUAACCUACCUAUAAGACUGGGAUAACUUCGGGAAACCGGAGCUAAUACCGGAUAAUAUUUUGAACCGCAUGGUUCAAAAGUGAAAGACGGUCUUGCUGUCACUUAUAGAUGGAUCCGCGCUGCAUUAGCUAGUUGGUAAGGUAACGGCUUACCAAGGCAACGAUGCAUAGCCGACCUGAGAGGGUGAUCGGCCACACUGGAACUGAGACACGGUCCAGACUCCUACGGGAGGCAGCAGUAGGGAAUCUUCCGCAAUGGGCGAAAGCCUGACGGAGCAACGCCGCGUGAGUGAUGAAGGUCUUCGGAUCGUAAAACUCUGUUAUUAGGGAAGAACAUAUGUGUAAGUAACUGUGCACAUCUUGACGGUACCUAAUCAGAAAGCCACGGCUAACUACGU